CAGCCGCCACGGGAAUACGUAGGUGGCAAGCGUUGUCCGGAAUUAUUGGGCGUAAAUCGCGCGUAGGCGGUUUUUUAAGUCUGAUGUGAAAGCCCACGGCUCAACCGUGGAGGGUCAUUGGAAACUGGAAAACUUGAGUGCAGGAGGGGAAAGCGGAAUUCCUAGUGUAGCGGUGAAAUGCGUAGAUAUUAGGAGGAAUACCAGUGGCGAAGGCGACUUUCUGGACUGCAACUGACGCUGAGGCUCGAAAGCGUGGGUAGCGAACAGGAUUAGAUACCCCUGUAGUCCCUGUCUCUUAUAC
rnacentral:rRNA from 1 species